rnacentral:rRNA from 1 species
UACGGGGGGAGCAAGCGUUGUUCGGAUUUACUGGGCGUAAAGGGCGCGUAGGCGGUCAGCACAAGUCAGUUGUGAAAUCUCCGGGCUUAACUCGGAAAGGUCAACUGAUACUGUGCGACUAGAGUGCGGAAGGGGCAACUGGAAUUCUCGGUGUAGCGGUGAAAUGCGUAGAUAUCGAGAGGAACACCUGCGGCGAAGGCGGGUUGCUGGGCCGACACUGACGCUGAGGCGCGAAAGCGUGGGUAGCAAACAGG